GUAGGAGGCAAGCGUUAUCCGGAUUCACUGGGCGUAAAGCGCGUGCAGGCGGUUCGGUAAGUUGGGCGUGAAAUCUCCUGGCUCAACUAGGAGAGGUCGUCCAAUACUACCGGGCUAGAGAGUGGUAGAGGAAGAUGGAAUUCCCGGUGUAGUGGUGAAAUGCGUAGAUAUCGGGAGGAACACCAGUGGCGAAGGCGAUCUUCUGGACCAUUUCUGACGCUCAGACGCGACAGCUAGGGUAGCAAACGGGAUUAGAGACCCCGGUAGUCCUAGCCGUAAACGAUGUGAACUUGGCGUCGGUGGGUUAAACUCCAUCGGUGCCGCAGCCAACGCGAUAAGUUCACCGCCUGGGGACUACGGCCGCAAGGUUAAA
rnacentral:rRNA from 1 species